GUGUCUGUCCGCAGUUGGCAAGCGAAUGUAAAGACUGACUAAGCAUGUAGUACCGACGGUAGAGUAGUUCCGGACGGGGGUUCAAAUCCCCCCAGCUCCACCA
rnacentral:tRNA from 2 species